rnacentral:lncRNA from 1 species
GAUGGGACUAAAAGGGACUUUUUUAGUCCCUACAUCAAAAAGUCCCUGUAAACAAACACCCCCUAUGUUGCAUAUGGUAACCCCUUAACUUAUGUUCCUUCAAUGGCUUCUACAUCUCCUUGCUAGCGGCAAGUGGCUAUCGUGGUCUGCAAAGUUUUAUAUGUUGAAGGUGUUUGCGGGUGUUUAUUGCUUGUUCAAUGUCUUUUUAAAGUUCCCGUGUAUGGCAUGCAAUUGGAG